UGUGCAGGCGGACUGGCGUGUCGGUGGUGAAAGCCCUCGGCUUAACCGAGGAAGUGCUGUCGAAACUACCAGUCUUGAGGACGGAAGAGGAAACUGGAACUUCUGGUGUAGCGGUAAAAUGCGUAGAUAUCAGAAGGAACGCCGAUAGCGAAGGCAGGUUUCUGGGACGUUCCUGACGCUGAAACACGAAAGCUAGGGGAGCAAACAGGAUUAGAUACCCUGGUAGUCCUAGCUGUAAACGAUGUACAUUAGGCGUGGGGAUUUUCCCCGUGCCGGAGCCAACGCGUUAAAUGUACCGCCUGGGGACUACGGCCGCAAGGUUGAA
rnacentral:rRNA from 1 species